AUGCAAGUCGCACGGGAUAUUUCUGGUAGCAAUAUUAGAAAUGUUCAGUGGCGCAAGGGUGCGUAACACGUGGGCAAUCUGCCGAGAAGUGGGGGAUAGCUCGCCGAAAGGCGAAUUAAUACCGCAUGUGGCCAGGGAGGACAUCCUCCCGACGCCAAAGCCGGGGCAACCUGGCGCUUCUUGAUGAGCCCGCGGCCUAUCAGCUAGUUGGUGAGGUAACGGCUCACCAAGGCUAUGACGGGUAGCUGGUCUGAGAGGACGACCAGCCACACUGGAACUGAGACACGGUCCAGACACCUACGGGUGGCAGCAGUCGAGAAUUUUUCUCAAUGGGGGCAACCCUGAAGGAGCGACGCCGCGUGGAGGAUGAAGGUCUUCGGAUUGUAAACUCCUGUCAUUAGGGAACAAGGUCCGCGAUUAACUGUCGUCGGAAUUGAUAGUACCUGAAGAGGAAGAGACGGCUAACUCUGUGCCAGCAGCCGCGGUAAUACAGAGGUCUCAAGCGUUGUUCGGAUUCAUUGGGCGUAAAGGGUGCGUAGGUGGCAAGGUAAGUCGGGUGUGAAAUCCCGGGGCUCAACCCUGGAACUGCACUCGAUACUGCCAUGCUCGAGUACUGGAGAGGAGACUGGAAUUUACGGUGUAGCAGUGAAAUGCGUAGAUAUCGUAAGGAAGACCAGUGGCGAAGGCGAGUCUCUGGACAGUUACUGACACUGAGGCACGAAGGCCAGGGGAGCAAACGGGAUUAGAUACCCCGGUAGUCCUGGCAGUAAACGGUGCGCGUUUGGUGUGGGAGGAUUCGACCCCUUCUGUGCCGGAGCUAACGCGUUAAACGCGCCGCCUGGGGAGUACGGUCGCAAGAUUAAAACUCAAAGAAAUUGACGGGGGCCCGCACAAGCGGUGGAGUAUGUGGCUUAAUUCGAUGCAACGCGAAGAACCUUACCUGGGCUUGACAUGCAUCUCUAAGUCGGUGAAAGCCGGCGAGUGGAGCAAUCCACAAUUUGCACAGGUGCUGCAUGGCUGUC
rnacentral:rRNA from 1 species